rnacentral:rRNA from 1 species
UCUCAAUGCUGUGGAAAUCAAGUGAUCUAGUUUACAGAAAAGAAAAAAAUUGUUAGAUCCAUGGAUUGUUGAAAUAUUCUUGGAAGAUUUGUUGUUAGUGGUUAAAGGUUAAUCAAACUUGGAUAUAGACGGUUAUCUAUGAAAUCUAUUCAGUAGUAG